rnacentral:rRNA from 1 species
UACGUAGGGGGCAAGCGUUUGUCCGGAUUUAUUGGGCGUAAAGAGCGUGUAGGCGGCCUUACAGGUCAGCUGUGAAAACUCGAGGCUCAACCUCGAGACGUCGGUUGAAACCGUAUGGCUAGAGUCCGGAAGAGGAGAGUGGAAUUCCCGGUGUAGCGGUGAAAUGCGCAGAUAUCGGGAAGAACACCCGUGGCGAAGGCGGCUCUCUGGGACGGUACUGACGCUGAGACGCGAAAGCGUGGGGAGCGAACAGG